AGAUCCUUCCUCAUCAGGGCAUCAGUGCUCCUGCUGCUGCUGUUGCUGGUCCUGGUGACAGGUCACCGGUUAUAUAAACGAAAACAGAAGAGAGAAACGAGGACAGUGGCUGCAGUGGAACAUCAGACAGAAGUCUCGGUGCAUUAUGGGAACUUGGGCGCCCACAUUGGGUUACAGCAGUGGGAUGGACGAGUAGAAGAUACAUGAAGAAAGGGACCCUGGCGACUGUGAAUCCUGCCUGUAAUGCCUGCUAAACGCAGCCUGAUGUCUGUAUCUGUGCCUUCAUGCUACAUGCUGCAGUUCAUAAGUUUCAUUUUACUGAAUCCACUGAGAGACGUAAUGGUGAGACACUAUAUACACAGCAAAGGUAUUUAGUGAAUAAUUGCUCCCUACUUGGUUACAUUCUGACACUUUAGCUUUAUGUAGGAUUCUGUUACAGUGUAGAAAAGAUGGUUGACUUUUUUUCCCUUUUAUGGACUCAUCUGAUAUAUAUUAUGGAAGUAUUCUUUAUUACAAAAAAGGCGAAAGCAGUUGUACUGAAAUGUGAAUCAAUGCUUUUCAUUUUCCGUUUGUCGUAUACAUCCAUGUGUGUGACGUAAGGUGGAAUAAUGGCGUUACGGAAGUGCGAAAAGUGAAACGCAAGCGGCAUUUGUCUAAUCAAGGAAAACGCAUCCGAUGUACUCCAUGAUAAUGGCUCUCUGUAACCUCGUCUGUCCUUCUUAACAUUCGUAUUCAUUUUUUAGUUAACAUUUUUGUCCGAAGAGGCAUAAUAAAAGUAAGACAAAGAGUACAUGACAAACAUAAAACUGUCAGAGUCAAGUAGGCACAAGUGUGGCUCAGCUGCGCUUCCAAUGAAUGCCGAGAUACAGGCGGUCUGUCCCCGGGCGUGGUAGACGCUGCCAUCUAGCGGCAGAGUUGUGCAUUGACGUUCUGCCCAGGUAAUUAUGCCUCAUGAGCUUUCCGUGUGAAGACGGGGAAAACGUCCUGUAUGUAUGAAUAUGUAUAAGUAUGUUUGGCUGCAGUAUGUACGUACACAAACUGGUGUAUAUAUUGCUUAUUUAUUUUAAACAUUUUGUUUGCAUGCUGGAUGUAUGAUUGACAGGAGUAUGAAUGGUGAGCAGAUCAUUGUUGUAACACAAAUGUUUGUGCGCAUUUCCCUUUAUAUCAUAACAUGACAAUAAAGAAUCUCAAAUCUUAAA